AUUCCAUGAUGGGAACAUUUUCUCAGCAGCUCCAUGAACCUCUCCCACGCAUCAUAAAGUGACUCGCCAUCUCUUUGGUUGAAAUUGUUUAUUUCACCUCUAUACCU